rnacentral:lncRNA from 1 species
UUUAAGAGUUAUGGAAAUUGAAAUUGUGGGAGCAAAAUUAAGGCUUAUUUGAAAAUUGUUCAUAAGAAUCAACACAGCUAGGGGGCGACAUUAAAUGUCUAAACAUGACAAGUGAUAGCUUCACCUCUAUAUUAUUCGGAAAACUUGAACAUGAAGAACAAAGAUAAAUCAUAUAGUUUACAAAUCUCAUCUAAUUUUAACAUUCAAACAAAUAAAUUAUGGAAGUCCUAACUGCAUGACUAUCUGCCAAUAUCUCCUGCAAAUCCACUUUAAUAGUCCAGCCCCAGGAGAAAAAUGGCUACUUAAACCAGUAAUGAAAUUCUAAAACCAAAUAAGAACAAAUAAUCGGAGAAAACACAUCUCCUUCAUACAGGUUUCACAUGGAACAAAAUACAUAGUCAUUAACAUUGUGACACAACAAAACCAAAGAAAAACAACACAUACACACACACCACUGUGUAGACUAAAAAUCUGGUAGAUCUUCAUUCAAUAUCAAGAUACAUAAGGAAGGAUCAUUAAUAUUUAAUUAAGAACUAACCCAAAAUCCCUUUGGUGAUGUUUAGAUGGCAAUGUUCCGGACUAGAUCCACGUUUCAUUCCCAAAAUCCCAGUAGAGGAGAUUGAACCCAACCCAAAACAGAGAACCGGAACUGAAGCUAAUGAACGAAAACUCAGACGAACUCGAUGGAAAUUGGACCCAGCAUUAGCGACUCGAAGCACGACCAAACAUUUGCUCGUACAUGAACGGUUUGAAAGCUAUUUACAAGGUUGGCUACUGAUGUGUGCGUUUGAGCAGAAAUGGAAAAGGGGGUCAGUGUCCACUGCAUUCUGUCGGGUGGUCGUUUUUGGUGUUUGAUUUUGUAAAGAAGAAAGGGUAACGGUUAUGGGGGGCGGGGGUCUGAUUUUUGGAGUUUCCGUUGGUUGGUGAAAGGAGGCGUUGAAGGAUCAUUUGGGGUGGGUGAAAAAGAUGAAUUUCAUGCGGGGGGAGGGGG